rnacentral:tRNA from 1 species
ACCGAAAUAGCUCUGUUGAGAGAGCGUUAGACCAUGGAUCGAAAAGUACCUUGUUCGAUCCCGGGUUCCGGCA